rnacentral:rRNA from 1 species
GGGUUGUGAGGUUAAGCGACUAAGCGUACACGGUGGAUGCCCUGGCAGUCAGAGGCGAUGAAGGACGUGCUAAUCUGCGAUAAGCGUCGGUAAGGUGAUAUGAACCGUUAUAACCGGCGAUUUCCGAAUGGGGAAACCCAGUGUGUUUCGACACACUAUCAUUAACUGAAUCCAUAGGUUAAUGAGGCGAACCGGGGGAACUGAAACAUCUAAGUACCCCGAGGAAAAGAAAUCAACCGAGAUUCCCCCAGUAGCGGCGAGCGAACGGGGAGCAGCCCAGAGCCUGAAUCAGUGUGUGUGUUAGUGGAAGCGUCUGGAAAGGCGCGCGAUACAGGGUGACAGCCCCGUACACAAAAAUGCACAUACUGUGAGCUCGAUGAGUAGGGCGGGACACGUGGUAUCCUGUCUGAAUAUGGGGGGACCAUCCUCCAAGGCUAAAUACUCCUGACUGACCGAUAGUGAACCAGUACCGUGAGGGAAAGGCGAAAAGAACCCCGGCGAGGGGAGUGAAAAAGAACCUGAAACCGUGUACGUACAAGCAGUGGGAGCCUCUUUAUGGGGUGACUGCGUACCUUUUGUAUAAUGGGUCAGCGACUUAUAUUCUGUAGCAAGGUUAACCGAAUAGGGGAGCCGAAGGGAAACCGAGUCUUAACUGGGCGUUAAGUUGCAGGGUAUAGACCCGAAACCCGGUGAUCUAGCCAUGGGCAGGUUGAAGGUUGGGUAACACUAACUGGAGGACCGAACCGACUAAUGUUGAAAAAUUAGCGGAUGACUUGUGGCUGGGGGUGAAAGGCCAAUCAAACCGGGAGAUAGCUGGUUCUCCCCGAAAGCUAUUUAGGUAGCGCCUCGUGAAUUCAUCUCCGGGGGUAGAGCACUGUUUCGGCAAGGGGGUCAUCCCGACUUACCAACCCGAUGCAAACUGCGAAUACCGGAGAAUGUUAUCACGGGAGACACACGGCGGGUGCUAACGUCCGUCGUGAAGAGGGAAACAACCCAGACCGCCAGCUAAGGUCCCAAAGUCAUGGUUAAGUGGGAAACGAUGUGGGAAGGCCCAGACAGCCAGGAUGUUGGCUUAGAAGCAGCCAUCAUUUAAAGAAAGCGUAAUAGCUCACUGGUCGAGUCGGCCUGCGCGGAAGAUGUAACGGGGCUAAACCAUGCACCGAAGCUGCGGCAGCGACACUAUGUGUUGUUGGGUAGGGGAGCGUUCUGUAAGCCUGUGAAGGUGUACUGUGAGGUAUGCUGGAGGUAUCAGAAGUGCGAAUGCUGACAUAAGUAACGAUAAAGCGGGUGAAAAGCCCGCUCGCCGGAAGACCAAGGGUUCCUGUCCAACGUUAAUCGGGGCAGGGUGAGUCGACCCCUAAGGCGAGGCCGAAAGGCGUAGUCGAUGGGAAACAGGUUAAUAUUCCUGUACUUGGUGUUACUGCGAAGGGGGGACGGAGAAGGCUAUGUUGGCCGGGCGACGGUUGUCCCGGUUUAAGCGUGUAGGCUGGUUUUCCAGGCAAAUCCGGAAAAUCAAGGCUGAGGCGUGAUGACGAGGCACUACGGUGCUGAAGCAACAAAUGCCCUGCUUCCAGGAAAAGCCUCUAAGCAUCAGGUAACAUCAAAUCGUACCCCAAACCGACACAGGUGGUCAGGUAGAGAAUACCAAGGCGCUUGAGAGAACUCGGGUGAAGGAACUAGGCAAAAUGGUGCCGUAACUUCGGGAGAAGGCACGCUGAUAUGUAGGUGAAGUCCCUCGCGGAUGGAGCUGAAAUCAGUCGAAGAUACCAGCUGGCUGCAACUGUUUAUUAAAAACACAGCACUGUGCAAACACGAAAGUGGACGUAUACGGUGUGACGCCUGCCCGGUGCCGGAAGGUUAAUUGAUGGGGUUAGCGGUAACGCGAAGCUCUUGAUCGAAGCCCCGGUAAACGGCGGCCGUAACUAUAACGGUCCUAAGGUAGCGAAAUUCCUUGUCGGGUAAGUUCCGACCUGCACGAAUGGCGUAAUGAUGGCCAGGCUGUCUCCACCCGAGACUCAGUGAAAUUGAACUCGCUGUGAAGAUGCAGUGUACCCGCGGCAAGACGGAAAGACCCCGUGAACCUUUACUAUAGCUUGACACUGAACAUUGAGCCUUGAUGUGUAGGAUAGGUGGGAGGCUUAGAAGUGUGGACGCCAGUCUGCAUGGAGCCGACCUUGAAAUACCACCCUUUAAUGUUUGAUGUUCUAACGUUGACCCGUGAUCCGGGUUGCGGACAGUGUCUGGUGGGUAGUUUGACUGGGGCGGUCUCCUCCUAAAGAGUAACGGAGGAGCACGAAGGUUGGCUAAUCCUGGUCGGACAUCAGGAGGUUAGUGCAAUGGCAUAAGCCAGCUUGACUGCGAGCGUGACGGCGCGAGCAGGUGCGAAAGCAGGUCAUAGUGAUCCGGUGGUUCUGAAUGGAAGGGCCAUCGCUCAACGGAUAAAAGGUACUCCGGGGAUAACAGGCUGAUACCGCCCAAGAGUUCAUAUCGACGGCGGUGUUUGGCACCUCGAUGUCGGCUCAUCACAUCCUGGGGCUGAAGUAGGUCCCAAGGGUAUGGCUGUUCGCCAUUUAAAGUGGUACGCGAGCUGGGUUUAGAACGUCGUGAGACAGUUCGGUCCCUAUCUGCCGUGGGCGCUGGAGAACUGAGGGGGGCUGCUCCUAGUACGAGAGGACCGGAGUGGACGCAUCACUGGUGUUCGGGUUGUCAUGCCAAUGGCACUGCCCGGUAGCUAAAUGCGGAAGAGAUAAGUGCUGAAAGCAUCUAAGCACGAAACUUGCCCCGAGAUGAGUUCUCCCUGACCCUUUAAGGGUCCUGAAGGAACGUUGAAGACGACGACGUUGAUAGGCCGGGUGUGUAAGCGCAGCGAUGCGUUGAGCUAACCGGUACUAAUGAACCGUGAGGCUUAACCUUACAACGCCGAAGCUGUU